rnacentral:rRNA from 1 species
UACGGGGGGGGGCAAGCGUUGUUCGGAAUUACUGGGCGUAAAGGGCCAGUAGGCGGCCAACUAAGUCGGAUGUGAAAUCCCCAGGCUUAACCUGGGAACUGCAUCCGAUACUGGAUGGCUUGAAUUCGGGAGAGGGAUGCAGAAUUCCAGGUGUAGCGGUGAGAUGCGUAGAUAUCUGGAGGAAUACCGGUGGCGAAGGCGGCAUCCUGGACCGACAUUGACGCUGAACGGCGAAAGCUAGGGGAGCGAAACGGG